rnacentral:rRNA from 1 species
AGAUAAUAGAUACCCCGGUAGUCCACGCCGUAAACGAUGAAUGCCAGCCGUUAGUGGGUUUACUCACUAGUGGCGCAGCUAAACGCUUUAAGCAUUCCGCCUGGGGAGUACGGUCGCAAGAUUAAAACUACAAGGAAUUGACGGGGGCCCGGCACAAGCGGUGGAGCAUGUGGUUUAAAUUCGACGCAACGCGCAGAACCUUACCAGCCCUUGACAUCCCGGUCGCGGACUCCAGAGACGGAGUUCUUCAGUUCGGCUGGACCGGAGACAGGUGCUGCAUGGCUGUCGUCAGCUCGUGUCGUGAGAUGUUGGGUUAAGUCCC